rnacentral:rRNA from 1 species
GACGAACGCUGGCGGCGUGCUUAACACAUGCAAGUCGAACGGAAAGACCCUGCUUUUGUGGGUUUCUCGAUUGGCGAACGGGUGAGUAACACAUGAGUAACCUGCCCUUGACUUGCUGAUAACUUCAGGAAAAUGGGGCUCAUACCGGGUAGAAUCUCCUGCUGCAUGGGGGGGGUUGGAAAGUGUCGGCGGUUGUGGCUGGACUCGCGGCUUAUCCGCUUGUUAGUGAGGUAGUGGCUUACCAAGGCUUUGACGGGUAGCCGGCCUGAGAGGGUGACCGGCGACAAGGGGCCUGAGGGACGGACCAGACUGGUAUGGGAGGCAGUAGUGGGGAAUAUUGCACAAUGGGCGGAAGUCUGAGGCAGCAACGCUGGGUGCGGGAUGACGGCUUACGGGUGGUAAACAGCUUUCUACGGUGACGAAGCGGGAGUGACGGUAAUUGGUAAAGAAGCACCGGCUAACUACGUG